CAGAGACACGGGGGAGAGAGGGAGAGAUCAUUUAAGAGUACAACUAGAGUUGAGAAAAUAUGGCCCAAGCAGUUAACAUCUUCCCCCAGAAAAUUUCCUUCCUUCCUAUAACAAAAAUCACCGCCGAAACUCAAAAGUAAUUGAGGUAAUUUCCCCAUGAAGCAAAUAAGAGGGUUUCCCGAGAUCGUAAUUAACAAGCCAGCAACCUUUUAUCCAGAUUCUGAAAACUAAAUUUGCAUUGCUCCUAGUGGCUUCUCGAAUUCCCCCUUGAAGGCUGGGACAACAGAUUGUGUGAAACUGAACCUGGCACAGCGUGAACUGGAGAAGGCAGUGCCGCCACCUACUACCUGUCUCUGGGGGCUCUGAGAGGCCUGCUUUCUAGAGGACUGCUCAGUGUUCUGAGAUUUUCUGUGAGCGGAUUUGAUGCCUUCCAGCAAAACGAAAACAUGUUGAACAGUACCCCCAAUUCCCCUGGCUGGAUUUAUGUUCAAGACAAAGCUAUUUGCAAUAUUUCAGGUCAGUAUCACCUGGAGGCAAGAUUUCUUGACGCAACUAAGUGCUGGAGUCCCGGAAGUCCAAGGACAAAGCCCGCAU
rnacentral:lncRNA from 1 species